AGCUCAGUUGGUAGAGCAAAUGCCUCACCGUGUCUAUUAAUUGGCAUUGGGUCGUGGGUUCGAGCCCCACCGGGAUCACCA
rnacentral:tRNA from 1 species